AUAGUUAAGAGUUUGAUCCUAGCUCAGGAUGAACGCUGGCGGCGUGGAUAAGGCAUGCAAGUCAAGGGGGGUGCAUCACACUGUGCGUGAUGCAAGUAUGGAGUAUGGAGUAUGGAGUAUGAGGUAUGAUCGCAACCUGCGGCCAUGCUUUAUACCCCAUACUUUAUACCCCAUACUUGCAUCGCGCCUAGCGCGAUGCAUCAACCGGCAGACGAGGUAGUAAUAAAUAGGUACGCACCCUGGGGUCGGGCAUAGCUCGUCGAAAGACGGGGUAAUUCCCGAUAGUCUCGCAAGAGUAAAGUUUUUCGCCCCGGGAGCGGCCUAUUCGGUAUCAGCUAGUUGGUAGGGUAACGGCCUACCAAGGCAAUGACGCCUAGGGGACCUGAGAGGGUGACCCCCACCGAUGGGACUGAGACACGGCCCAUACACCUACGGGUGGCUGCAGUCGAGAAUCUUCCGCAAUGGACGAAAGUCUGACGGAGCGACGCCGCGUGGAGGAUGAAGUGCUUCGGUAU
rnacentral:rRNA from 1 species